rnacentral:rRNA from 1 species
GUCGACGAGUUCUCGUUGAUGAUCGGUGCUUGCACCGAGAUUCAACAUGGAACGAGUGGCGGACGGGUGAGUAACACGUGGGUAACCUGCCCUUAAGUGGGGGAUAACAUUUGGAAACAGAUGCUAAUACCGCAUAGAUCCAAGAACCGCAUGGUUCUUGGCUGAAAGAUGGCGUAAGCUAUCGCUUUUGGAUGGACCCGCGGCGUAUUAGCUAGUUGGUGAGGUGAUGGCUCACCAAGGCGAUGAUACGUAGCCGAACUGAGAGGUUGAUCGGCCACAUUGGGACUGAGACACGGCCCAAACUCCUACGGGAGGCAGCAGUAGGGAAUCUUCCACAAUGGACGCAAGUCUGAUGGAGCAACGCCGCGUGAGUGAAGAAGGCUUUCGGGUCGUAAAACUCUGUUGUUGGAGAAGAAUGGUCGGCAGAGUAACUGUUGUCGGCGUGACGGUAUCCAACCAGAAAGCCACGGCUAACUACGUGCCAGCAGCCGCGGUAAUACGUAGGUGGCAAGCGUUAUCCGGAUUUAUUGGGCGUAAAGCGAGCGCAGGCGGUUUUUUAAGUCUGAUGUGAAAGCCCUCGGCUUAACCGAGGAAGCGCAUCGGAAACUGGGAAACUUGAGUGCAGAAGAGGACAGUGGAACUCCAUGUGUAGCGGUGAAGUGCGUAGAUAUAUGGAAGAACACCAGUGGCGAAGGCGGCUGUCUGGUCUGUAACUGACGCUGAGGCUCGAAAGCAUGGGUAGCGAACAGGAUUAGAUACCCUGGUAGUCCAUGCCGUAAACGAUGAAUGCUAGGUGUUGGAGGGUUUCCGCCCUUCAGUGCCGC